GUAUUUGGAUUCUCAAACGUAGAGUCUGAGCGAUUCGGCAGCGAGCCACCGAUUCAAUCAACUUACGGCUACACAUCCCAACAAGGGGGAGAUCACAAACCCGACGAGAGGCGAGAGCUCUUUGAACUGUUCACCGAAGCUAUACCCUCUUGGAGCAGGCCUUUCAGCCUUUUCCGGAUCAACGGGCUACAGUACCUCGUGCGUCGGGCCGUCAAGGCACAGGCAACCGACAAACUAUCAGUCGCCCGGCGCAAAACGUGUCAGGUCGAGGGCAGGCAGGCCCCGACCGCUAGAACAGGCCG
rnacentral:rRNA from 1 species